AUUAAAAACCAAUGCCCUUCGGGGCUCACUGGUGAUUCAUGAUAACUCCUCGAAUCGCAUGGCCUUGUGCCGGCGAUGGUUCAUUCAAAUUUCUUCCCUAUCAACUUUCGAUGUUUGGGUAUUGGCCAAACAUGGUUGCAACGGGUAACGGAGGGUUAGGGCUCGACCCCGGAGAAGGAGCCUGAGAAACGGCUACUACAUCCAAGGAAGGCAGCAGGCGCGCAAAUUACCCAAUCCCGACACGGGGAGGUAGUGACAAUAAAUACUGAUACAGGGCUCUUUUGGGUCUUGUAAUUGGAAUGAGUACAAUUUAAAUCCCUUAACGAGGAACAAUUGGAGGGCAAGUCUGGUGCCAGCAGCCGCGGUAAUUCCAGCUCCAAUAGCGUAUAUUAAAGUUGUUGUGGUUAAAAAGCUCGUAGUUGAACCUUGGGCCUGGCUGGCCGGUCCGCCUCACCGCGUGUACUGGUCCGGCCGGGCCUUUCCCUCUGUGGAACCCCAUGCCCUUCACUGGGUGUGGC
rnacentral:rRNA from 1 species